rnacentral:lncRNA from 1 species
ACUUUAUAAAAAUAAGCUACAUGAGUUUGGAGUAGAGGGGUCAAAGACAAUAAGGAAUUUGUUAUCAUUUACAAGUAUAAUAUUUGCUUUUAAUUUUUCUAUGUUUAUUUGGAACAAUGUUUUGCUUGUUUUUCAGUAAUAUAUCUUAUUUUUAAUCUCUCUAUAUAUUUUUCAACAAUAAACUCAAAUAAUUAACAAAAUAAAAGGAAAACAAAAAGAAAAUAAUUUUUGUUAACUUUGAUAGGUAAUGAUAUUAUAAAAUUCGAUAAGGCAUAUGAUGAAAAUAAUGUACAAGAGUUUGUGAAAUUGUGUUCUUCUAACUGCGAGGUAAAGAUAAUAAAAAUAGGAAUAUACACACACAUACACAUGUUCAUAUACAUAAAUAUAUGUGUACCAAAUAUACUUUCCCGUUGCUUUUGUUAUACGCUUUUGUUACACGGUUUUGUUAUAUGCUGUUAUUACAGAUAUAUACAAAUGAUUGAUAUGUUAAUUUUUAUUUUGUUAAAUCAGAUUGAAAAGCUAGAAGAUAGAAUGCAUCCUUGGGCUGCCGACCCCAAAACAAUUGGAGCAUUAGCAGCAACUCAAUUAGCAAUAUUAGCUAGUAAAGAAAAUGAGCCACAUUAUAAAGAUGCAAUACGUGAAGCAAAUGGAAUACCUGUUUUUAUUAAUUUGUUAAAAUCACAUGAAUUGGAUAGAGUACACGCAGCUGUUGUUGCGUUAUCAUUUUUAUCAGUCGAUAGUAAGAAUAAAAUAAAUGAGUAAAAUGUUACAAAUUUUAUAUGUGUAUGACCCUUUUUAUUUUUUUAGCUGAACUAAUAUAAUAAUUAUGAAACUGUUAUAAAACUCUGUUUUUUCAUUUCAUUUCCUUUUUUUUUUUUUUCAACUUUUUUGUAGACGUGAAAAAUUGUAUAUGUAUGUUUGAAAAUGGUAUCUUACCUUAUUUGAUUAGCGGAAUGAAAUCGGAUAUAAAUGGAAUGAAAGCCGCUUGUGCACAAACAUGUAGAAAUAUAUUUGUUUUGGGUGAGUAAAAAGAAGUGUGGACACAAUUUUGUAUGUAUGUAUGUAUGUAUGUAUAUGUGCCUUUUAUGUUUGAUGUUCAACACAUUUUGAUUUUUUUUUUUUUUUUUUUUUUUUAACUAUAUAUUAUAAAUUUAUAUUUUUUAUAUUGUUAUUUAUUUUUGCAGAUAAAAAAUAUAAAAAGGAGUUUUUAAGAUUAGGGGGAUUAAAUCAAUUUGUGAAUUUAUUAGAAAUGUAUGAACAAUUGAA